rnacentral:rRNA from 1 species
AUUGAACGCUGGCGGCAGGCCUAACACAUGCAAGUCGAGCGGAUGAAGGGUGCUUGCUCCUGGAUUCAGCGGCGGACGGGUGAGUAAUGCCUAGGAAUCUGCCUGGUAGUGGGGGAUAACGUCCGGAAACGGGCGCUAAUACCGCAUACGUCCUGAGGGAGAAAGUGGGGGAUGUUAGGAUCUCACGCUAUGAGAUGAGCCUAGGUCGGAUUAGCUAGUUGGUGGGGUAAAGGCCUACCAAGGGGACGAUCCGUAACUGGUCUGAGAGGAUGAUCAGGCACACUGGGACUGGAACACGGUCCAGACUCUUACGGGAGGCAGCAGUGGGGAAUAGUGGACAAUGGGCGAAAGCCUGAUCCAGCCAUGCCGCGUGUGUGAAGAAGGUCUUCGGAUUGUAAAGCACUUUAAGGGUUGAGGAAGGGCAGUAAGUGAAUACCUUGUUGUUUUGACGUUACCAACAGAAGAAGCACCGGCUAACUUCGUG